rnacentral:lncRNA from 12 species
CCGGGUGCUGUGGUUCCCCAAAGCGCAGGGCUAGCGGCGCCCUCCCCGCUCCCGCCCGACUUGUGUGUGUGUGGUUGGGAAGGCGAGGAGCGGGGGUGCUCCUUCUCCCCGCCCCGCUCCGCUCCAGCCCGCGCUGCUUGUGGGGACCGGACCGGGCUGAGCCGCGGUGCGGGGAAGACAGACUGGAUCGAAGAGCCGAGACCAAUGGUGUGAGGUUCAACAAGACCAAGUGCCGGGUCCUGCACUUGUCACCCCAACCCCUGCAGCGCUAAAGGCUGGGGGAAGAUUGGCUGUAAGGGUGGUGUCCGGUCACAGGUUGGACCCGAGGAUCCCGGAGCUCUUUUCCAACCCAACUGAUUCUGGGAUUCUGACUCGCCGCAGCCGCCAGAGCGGGAGGGAAGGGUGCGUAUGCCCGUGUGUGUCCCGAUGUCUCAGCGCGUGUGGGACGACCCCGCGGCGCGCGGGCGCAUGCGCACACGGAAGGCCGGGGGGAGCGCGCCGCCGCGGUCGUGCCCGCGCAGGGGGCGGUGCUGCCGGGGCGGGGAGGGCGCGGGGCCGCGCUCCCCCCCCCCCCCCCCCCCCCCCCCCCCCCCCCCCCCCCCCCCCCCCCCCCCCCCCCCCCCCCCCC